GUGAAUUUGUGCAGGAGAUGCUGUUGAAAUAUUACAACGAGUUCAACCUCUCUUCCUGGUGUCUAAGGCAAUGCUUUGCUUACUCUUUCUUUAUAUUCUCUUCACAAGAUUCUGUGAAGGGUGAGAAGCUUGUUAGACUUUGGAUGGUGGAGGGAUAUCUGGCACACUCUUCCUCUUCUUCUUCUCCAGUACUAGAAGAUUUGGGCCAUGAAUGUAUAGAGGAAUUCCUUCACAGGUCAAUAUUCAGAGUUAAUGAAGAUGGAGAAAUAUACAGCAUUUUCAAAGAGGGAGAACUGGCAGAGUUAUGGUUACCAUCAAUAACGUGUAUUUGAAGGACGAGGAAAUCAUCGACAACUAUGUCGGCUGAGUGUCGCUGAGUUCGGAAUUGGAUGUUUCAAAAGGCAUCUCUAGAUCCCUCUUUAAAUCCUAUAAAAACAUGCGUACCUUUGUUUUGGAAAAGCAUUCUCGACCUCCAAACUGAGUGAUGCUAAGCUGGGCUGCUUGUGAUGAAAUCUUGUCAGUGUUCACCAGGUUGCACGUGUUGAUUCUGAAAAAUUUAGGCAUGAAGGUGUUGCCGGGUUCAAUUGGGGACUUGAAGAGUUUGAGAUACCUCGAUUUGUCUCGCAACAACUUCAACAAACUUCCUAUUUGCAUAGGUGAGUUGCUGCAUUUGCAGACCUUGCAACUGUCCCACUGUCUCAAGCUUAAAGAAUUGCCGGAUGAUGUGAACUAUUUUGCGAGUUUGAGGCAUCUGGAGGUGGAUGAAUGCACAAAUCUGAUGCACAUGCCAUCUGCGUUAAGGAAACUGACUUGGCUUCGGUCAUUGCCGCAUUUCGUGACCAGCAAACGCAACAGUCUUGGAGAACUCAUUGAUCUCAAUGAGGUCCGGGGAGAGUUGGAGAUUUCACACUAAGAGCGUUUCAAAUUGAAAGGAUCACGGCCUGAGAGUGCCUUUUUGAAAGAGAAGCAACAUCUUGAAGGCCUCACAUUGAGAUGGAAUCAUGAUGACAAUGACGACCAAGAUGAAAUCAUGUUAAAACAACUGGAGCCUCAUCAAAAUUUGAAACGAUUAUCCAUUAUAGGCUAUCAAGGUAAUCAAUUUCCAGGUUGGUUGUCAUCCCUCAAUAAUCUUGUUGAGAUUAGUUUGUACAAAUGCUCCAAAUGCCAGUCUCUCUCCACACUGAAUCAUGUCCUUGUCAAUCUUGAAAAACUC
rnacentral:lncRNA from 1 species